rnacentral:rRNA from 1 species
AUUGAACGCUGGCGGCAGGCCUAACACAUGCAAGUCGAGCGAGCGGCGGACGGGUGAGUAAUGUAUGGGAAACUGCCUGAUAGAGGGGGAUAACUACUGGAAACGGUGGCUAAUACCGCAUACCAUCGGAUGUACCCAUAUGGGAUUAGCUAGUAGGUGGGGUAAAGGCUCACCUAGGCGACGAUCCCUAGCUGGUCUGAGAGGAUGACCAGCCACACUGGGACUGAUACACGGCCCAGACUCCUACGGGAGGCAGCAGUGGGGAAUAUUGCACAAUGGGCGCAAGCCUGAUGCAGCCAUGCCGCGUGUAUGAAGAAGGCCUUAGGGUUGUAAAGUACUUUCAGCGGGGAGGCGUUACCCGCAGAAGAAGCACCGGCUAACUCCGUGCCAGCAGCCGCGGUAAUUC